GCCAGCCCGCUCAGAAACUUAAAGGAAUUGACGGGGCCCGCACAAGCGGAGGAGCAUGUGGUUUAAUUCGAUGAUACGCGAGGAACCUUACCUGGGCUCGAACGUAAGAUGACUGUAGGUGAAAGCUUACAUCUCUUCGGAGCAUUUUACGAGGUGCUGCAUGGUUGUCGUCAGCUCGUGCCGUGAGGUGUCGGGUUAAGUCCCAUAACGAGCGCAACCCCUACCUUUAGUUGCCAUCAGGUAAUGCUGGGGACUCUAAAGGAACUGCCUACGCAAGUAGUGAGGAAGCGGGGAUGACGUCAAAUCAGCACGGCCCUUACGUCCAGGGCUACACACGUGCUACAAUGGCCGAUACAGAGGGCAGCUACCUGGUGACAGGAUGCAAAUCUCCAAAGUCGGUCUCAGUUCGGAUCGGAGUCUGCAACCCGACUCCGUGAAGUUGGAUUCGCUAGUAAUCGCGCAUCAGCCAUGGCGCGGUGAAUACGUUCCCGGGCCUU
rnacentral:rRNA from 1 species